UAUAACUAGGGGAGCGUUAAGAGCUGAGAUUGGAGUAUUCCUAAACCCUUAUGACCUGAUUUGGUUAGAACCAACGUAGGGAAGUACAAAAUUAA
rnacentral:ncRNA from 1 species